CCCUUAGUAACGGCGAGUGAACCGGGAUGAGCUCAAAUUUGAAAUCUGGCGUCUUUCAGGCGUCCGAGUUGUAAUCUAUAGAGGCGUUUUCCGCGCCGGACCGCGUCCAAGUCUCUUGGAAUAGAGUAUCAAAGAGGGUGACAAUCCCGUACUUGACGCGACAACCGGUGCUCUGUGAUACGUUCUCAAUGAGUCGAGUUGUUUGGGAAUGCAGCUCUAAAUGGGUGGUAAAUUCCAUCUAAGGCUAAAUAUUGGCGAGAGACCGAUAGCGAACAAGUACCGUGAGGGAAAGAUGAAAAGCACUUUGGAAAGAGAGUUAAACAGCACGUGAAAUUGUUAAAAGGGAAACGAUUGAAGUCAGUCGUGUGGGAAGUAUUCAGCCGUCUCUGGCGGUGUAUUUGCUUCUCACGGGUCAACAUCAGUUUGAUCCGGUAGAAAAAGGCGGGAAGAAGGUGGCACCCUCGGGUGUGUUAUAGCUUCCUGUCAUAUGUGCCGGACCAGACUGAGGAACGCAGCUUGCAGCAAUGCCGGGGUUCGCCCACGUACAAGCUUAGGAUGUUGACAUAAUGGCUUUAAACGACCCGUCUUGAAACA
rnacentral:rRNA from 1 species